rnacentral:snoRNA from 1 species
AUGAUGCGAUCAAUCGAGGCAUUUGUAUGACCGUGACGAUGAGUUACACCUCCGUGCACCCAGCUACCUACAACAGGCACGGGACUGA